rnacentral:rRNA from 1 species
AGCGAACGCUGGCGGCAGGCUUAACACAUGCAAGUCGAGCGGGCGUAGCAAUACGUCAGCGGCAGACGGGUGAGUAACGCGUGGGAACGUACCUUUUGGUUCGGAACAACACAGGGAAACUUGUGCUAAUACCGGAUAAGCCCUUACGGGGAAAGAUUUAUCGCCGAAAGAUCGGCCCGCGUCUGAUUAGCUAGUUGGUGAGGUAACGGCUCACCAAGGCGACGAUCAGUAGCUGGUCUGAGAGGAUGAUCAGCCACAUUGGGACUGAGACACGGCCCAAACUCCUACGGGAGGCAGCAGUGGGGAAUAUUGGACAAUGGGGGCAACCCUGAUCCAGCCAUGCCGCGUGAGUGAUGAAGGCCCUAGGGUUGUAAAGCUCUUUUGUGCGGGAAGAUAAUGACGGUACCGCAAGAAUAAGCCCCGGCUAACUUCGUGCCAGCAGCCGCGGUAAGAAUGAGACGU